rnacentral:rRNA from 1 species
UACAGAGGUCCCAAGCGUUGUUCGGAUUCACUGGGCGUAAAGGGUGCGUAGGUGGUGAGGUAAGUCGGAUGUGAAAGCUCGGAGCUCAACUCCGAAAUGGCAUUGGAAACUACCUUGCUCGAGGGUUGGAGGGGGGACUGGAAUGCUUGGUGUAGCAGUGAAAUGCGUAGAUAUCAAGCGGAACACCAGUGGCGAAGGCGAGUCCCUGGACAACUCCUGACACUGAGGCACGAAAGCUAGGGGAGCAAACAGG